CACGGACCAAGGAGUCUAGCAUGUGCGCGAGUCAUUGGGAACUAAUAAACCCAAAGGCGCAAUGAAAGUGAACAGCGUCCCCUCCGGGGGACCGCAGGGAAGAUGGCGGCCGGUGCGCCCGUCCGCUCGCAUUCCCGAGGCGUUUCGAGAAAUGCCUCCGUUGCGAUUAUCGAGACGCACUGAGAGCGUACACGCUGGGACCCGAAAGAUGGUGAACUAUGCCUGGUCAGGUCGAAGUCAGGGGAAACCCUGAUGGAGGACCGAAGCGAUUCUGACGUGCAAAUCGAUCGUCCGAACUGGGUAUAGGGGCGAAAGACUAAUCGAACUAUCUAAUAGCUGGUUCCAUCCGAAGUUUCC
rnacentral:rRNA from 1 species